rnacentral:lncRNA from 1 species
AUAAAUGUAUUCAACUUAAGCAAGCACAGUAGCUACAAAGCCAUGCCUCUGAAAACAACUGCAUAAAAAGAAACAUGCGGGGAGGCUCGUGCAGUAGCUGUGAAGUUUAUGAAAGAGAACAGCUGCAUACAAAUGGACAUGCGGAGAGGCUUAUGCAGUGGCUGUAAAGUUUAUCAAAGAGACUUAAGUAAGGGUAUCAAUAUCAGUUCAGAGAUAUCAUCUCUAAUACUGAGAGUCACAACGGCAGCACAAGGAACAAUAAUGCUAUGUAAAAUAUAGAAUUAAGAUUUAGACAGUGGCUUAUGUUAUUUCUAUAUUAUAUCGGUCAGGAUAGCUUUUUCUUGUCUUUGCAUGUAAUGAUUCAGACACAUAUAAUAAUGAAAGCAGAUUGUCAUGUUUGAAUGAUUUCAUAAUAAUUGUACUUCCUUAUUAUCAAUGUGUUAUACAUGUAUAAAAGAUUAACAAAAUAUUUUCUUUGGUCAGGUUAUAGUUCAUCCGACUGAUCCUGCCUUGCACUCCUAAAUCCAUAAUAUAUGUAACAAUAGCAUAAAUAGCAUAAAUCUAAACAUUUAGAAAAUUAACACAACAGAAUGUUGUAUGCGGACUACAUGAUAUAUCAAAACAAUUGAAAAGUAGUAUGUAAAUAUUCAUUUACCUUUGUAUUAGUUUAUCAAAUAUUUGUACAUUUGAAUACCAUUUUAAAAAAUUCAUGGUUAAUAUAUAAAUAUAAACUUCGCAAGGGAUGUGUUUCUCCUUGAAAUCUCCAUAUCCAAACAUGAUUUAUAUGACUAUCCAUAAUGAUCCAAGAUUCACUUGGUCGAUUCGUGGACACGUCUACUUAAUUAUUAAUUGUAUUGUAGACAACACUUCAAAUAUGCAAAAAGAUUUGGCUAAAUUUAAAAGAUUAAAUAUGAAUUACUACACAGUACCUACGUAAGUAUAAAAACAUACUUUUGUGUUCAUAUAGAACAAAAUUCUACGCAAGUAAACACAGUAUCAGUAUGCCGUAACACUAAAACAUGGUGACUGUCUAUGGGCGCGUUCGGCAUACUUACUCGAGCUAACCCGAGUCACCCUGGGUAUAACUCGAGUAUAACUCAAGUAACCCGGGCGAUAGUAGUUGUGUCACCAGAAUUCUACCCACCUCCUGAAGCUGGGAAAGUCGGGUGAUCGUAUCCGAAUGCAUUAACACUUUAAACAAGGCGUCUUUGGUACACUUGUAAAAGUUUGUGUGCAGUUACUAUCAAGGCUUUAUCUCAAUAACCACAGAUGAUAUUGAAUUGAAACUUCAAACAAGUCUUUGCGCUCAUCAGACCUACCAAAAUAAUCAAGUUAGAUAAUUCUUGAUCGAAUCUUAUGUAAAUUAUGGGUCUCAUUUAUAGACAUAUUGCUUUGAAACAUAUUUUUACUUUUUAAGGUCAUUCCCU